GUUGUUUUCUAAACUUUCAUUACAUUGAAAAUUCACAAUUAAAAAUUUUGCAGAAACUCUCCUUGAAUCUAGUAACAACAUUUUGCGAAUUGCUUAUAUUGCUGAAUAACUGCUUUUUUCACACAUAAAAUAACAAAUUUAAUUCUAUCAACUACUGAACGCACAUCUUUUAUAAAAAAUAUUUUAUGUUGGCUGGUAUUCAGCCU
rnacentral:lncRNA from 1 species